GCCAUGAGUCACCAGCCAUCUUGCCAUAUGGACAUAAUUUUCUGAAUAUCUUAUAUAUUUUCAAGACUUUAUGACAACAGUACCUUAUUGUAGAAUAAAAUAUAAGAUUUAAAAAGAAAAUGUUUUCCCCAUUAAAUAUGCUAGAAAUAACUUUUAACAGAAUUUUUAAUGAAGCAGGAGCUUCAUACAGAAUCCAAUGGAGGAACUGGAAAAUCAUCAUGAAAGAGGAAUCAAUAGAGGACAAGAUUCAUAUUUUCUUUCCCAAAGUAUAAUGCAGGUCUUAUUUAUUUACUUGAAAGAAUGAGAAAGAGGGACACCUGGGUCGCUCAAUUGGUUGAGCAUCUGCCUUGGCUCAGGUCAUGAUCCCAGGGAUGAAGCCCAAUGUAGGGCUCCCUGUUUAGUGGGAAGUCGGCUUCUCCCUCUCCCUCUGCUCCUCCUCCUUGC
rnacentral:lncRNA from 12 species